GAUGAACGCUGGCGGCGUGCCUAAUACAUGCAAGUCGAGCGAAUGACGAGGAGCUUGCUCCUCUGAUUUAGCGGCGGACGGGUGAGUAACACGUGGGUAACCUGCCUGUAAGACGGGGAUAACUCCGGGAAACCGGAGCUAAUACCGGAUGAUAACGAGAAGCGCCUGCUUCUUUUUUGAAAGUCGGUUUCGGCUGACGCUUACAGAUGGGCACGCGGCGCAUUAGCGAGUUGGUGAGGUAACGGCCCACCAAGGCGACGAUGCGUAGCCGACCUGAGAGGGUGAUCGGCCACACUGGGACUGAGACACGGCCCAGACUCCUACGGGAGGCAGCAGUAGGGAAUCUUCGGCAAUGGACGAAAGUCUGACCGAGCAACGCCGCGUGAGCGAUGAAGGCCUUCGGGUCGUAAAGCUCUGUUGUCAGAGAAGAACAAGUACCGGAGUAACUGCCGGUACCUUGACGGUACUUGACCAGAAAGCCACGGCUAACUACGUGCCAGCCGCCGCCGUAA
rnacentral:rRNA from 1 species